GGAAAGGUGAAAAGUACCCUGAGUAAGGGGGUGAAAUAGAACCUGAAACCGUGCGCUUACAAGCGGUGGGAGCCCUUCGGGGUGACCGCGUGCUUUUUGCAUAAUGAGCUCGGGAGUUAGCCUCUGUGGCGAGCCUAAGGCCUAUCGGGCCGGAGGCGGAGCGAAAGCGAGUCUGAAUAGGGCCC
rnacentral:rRNA from 1 species